UGGGGAAUAUUGCACAAUGGGCGAAAGCCUGAUGCAGCGACGCCGCGUGAGGGAUGACGGCCUUCUGGUUGUAAACCUCUUUCAGCAGGGACGAAGCGCAAGUGACGGUACCUGCAGAAGAAGCACCGGCUAACUACGUGCCAGCAGCCGCGGUAAUACGUAGGGUGCAAGCGUUGUCCGGAAUUACUGGGCGUAAAGAGUUCGUAGGCGGUUUGUCGCGUCGUUUGUGAAAACCAGCAGCUCAACUGCUGGCUUGCAGGCGAUACGGGCAGACUUGAGUACUGCAGGGGAGACUGGAAUUCCUGGUGUAGCGGUGAAAUGCGCAGAUAGCAGGAGGAACACCGGUGGCGAAGGCGGGUCUCUGGGCAGUAACUGACGCUGAGGAACGAAAGCGUGGGUAGCGAACAGG
rnacentral:rRNA from 1 species